rnacentral:rRNA from 1 species
GACGAACGCUGGCGGCGUGCUUAACACAUGCAAGUCGAACGGAAAGGCCCUGCUUUUGUGGGGUGCUCGAGUGGCGAACGGGUGAGUAACACGUGAGUAACCUGCCCUUGACUUUGGGAUAACUUCAGGAAACUGGGGCUAAUACCGGAUAGGAGCUCCUGCUGCAUGGUGGGGGUUGGAAAGUUUCGGCGGUUGGGGCUGGACUCGCGGCUUAUCAGCUUGUUGGUGGGGUAGUGGCUUACCAAGGCUUUGACGGGUAGCCGGCCUGAGAGGGGGACCGGCCACAAUGGGACUGAGAUACGGCCCAGACUCCUACGGGAGGCAGCAGUGGGGAAUAUUGCACAAUGGGCGGAAGCCUGAGGCAGCAACGCCGCGUGCGGGAUGACGGCCUUCGGGUUGUAAACCGCUUUCGCCUGUGACGAAGCGUGAGUGACGGUAAUGGGUAAAGAAGCACCGGCUAACUACGUG